rnacentral:rRNA from 1 species
AGAGUUUGAUCCUGGCUCAGGAUGAACGCUAGCUACAGGCUUAACACAUGCAAGUCGAGGGGAAACGAUAGAGAAAGCUUGCUUUUUCUAGGCGUCGACCGGCGCACGGGUGAGUAACGCGUAUCCAACCUGCCCACCACUUGGGGAUAACCUUGCGAAAGUAAGACUAAUACCCAAUGACGUCUCUAGAAGACAUCUGAAAGGGAUUAAAGAUUUAUCGGUGAUGGAUGGGGAUGCGUCUGAUUAGCUUGUUGGCGGGGUAACGGCCCACCAAGGCAACGAUCAGUAGGGGUUUCUGAGAGGAAGGUCCCCCCACAUUGGGAACUGAGACACGGUCCAAACUCCUACGGGAGGCAGCAGUGAGGAAUAUUGGUCAAUGGGCGAGAGCCUGAACCAGCCAAGUAGCGUGCAGGAUGACGGCCCUAUGGGUUGUAAACUGCUUUUAUAAGGGAAUAAAGUGAGCCUCGUGAGGCUUUUUGCAUGUACCUUAUGAAUAAGGACCGGCUAAUUCCGUGCCAGCAGCCGCGGUAAUACGGAAGGUCCGGGCGUUAUCCGGAUUUAUUGGGUUUAAAGGGAGCGUAGGCCGGAGAUUAAGCGUGUUGUGAAAUGUAGAUGCUCAACAUCUGCACUGCAGCGCGAACUGGUUUCCUUGAGUACGCACAAAGUGGGCGGAAUUCGUGGUGUAGCGGUGAAAUGCUUAGAUAUCACGAAAAACUCCGAUUGCGAAGGCAGCUCACUGGAGCGCAACUGACGCUGAAGCUCGAAAGUGCGGGUAUCGAACAGGAUUAGAUACCCUGGUAGUCCGCACGGUAAACGAUGGAUGCCCGCUGUUGGUCUGAAUAGGUCAGCGGCC